GAUGAACGCUAGCUGCAGGCUUAACACAUGCAAGUCGAGGGGCAGCGGUAUCGAAAGCUUGCUUUCGGUAGCCGGCGACCGGCGCACGGGUGAGUAACGCGUAUCGAACCUGCCUCAUACUCGGGAAUAGCCUUGCGAAAGUAAGAUUAAUGCCCGGUGUUUUCAGAGUCCCGCAUGAGGCUUUGAACAAAGAUUUAUCGGUAUGAGAUGGCGAUGCGUCCCAUUAGCUUGUUGGCGGGGUAACGGCCCACCAAGGCAUCGAUGGGUAGGGGUUCUGAGAGGAAGGUCCCCCACAUUGGAACUGAGACACGGUCCAAACUCCUACGGGAGGCAGCAGUGAGGAAUAUUGGUCAAUGGGCGGAAGCCUGAACCAGCCAAGUAGCGUGCAGGAAGACGGCCCUCCGGGUUGUAAACUGCUUUUAGCUGGGAAUAAAACGGGGCUCGUGAGCCCCCUUGCAUGUACCAUCAGAAAAAGGACCGGCUAAUUCCGUGCCAGCCGCCGCGGUAA
rnacentral:rRNA from 1 species